UGCAGCAAAACUGCACCUUAGGGCUAGAGAUUUGCCACUGAAGUGUGUGUCGAUACAGUGGGUGGAGACGGUCACCUAUCUGGCAGAAGGAUUUAUUUGCGCAGGCAGGUUAAUCCAGGUAUCAGUCUUCAUGGAUACCAGGUGGCUCCGAAUAAGAAUGCACCUUCAUUUGCAUAUUUAAAUUAAGGGAAUAAAGCGCAGAGUACAAUGUGAACCACCGGGGAGAAUUUAAAGACAGUGAAUAUAGAUUGUAUGCCAUUGAUGAGGAACAUUUUUGCAAACACCGUAAACCAGUAAAUAACCUCUCAAGGGCAUCUGCAUGUGCACACAAAUCGACAAACUUAACACACACAUACUGAGAUGGGGUCAAAAGCUGGUUUUAGGACCGAAGAGUCGGCUGUGUUGGUCUGUCUCCCUACAUCGUCCAUUAGCUUCAUGCUGGGUUCUAAUCCUAAUUGACAUGGAAAAAGCUCAGAGGAUGUGUAGUCACACAAAACAGGUCGCACAAAUAAAUGGCUA